rnacentral:rRNA from 1 species
GAUGAACGCUGGCGGCGUGCUUAACACAUGCAAGUCGAACGAACGACUAUUAACAGAACCUUUCGGGGCGAAGAAUAUAGAAGUUAGUGGCGGACGGGUGCGUAACGCGUGGGUAAUCUGCCUUUGUCAAAGGAAUAACUAUUCGAAAGAAUAGCUAAAACCGUAUAACAUAUUAAUAGGGCAUCCUAGUAAUAUCAAAACGAUAGUGGACAAAGAUGAGCCCGCGUCUGAUUAGCUAGCUGGUGAGAUAAAAGCCCACCAAGGCAACGAUCAGUAGCCGACCUGAGAGGGUGAACGGCCACAUUGGAACUGAGACACGGUCCAAACUCCUACGGGAGGCAGCAGUGGGGAAUAUUGCACAAUGGGGGGAACCCUGAUGCAGCAACGCCGCGUGAGUGAAGAAGGCAUUCGUGUCGUAAAACUCUGUAGUAGGGGAAGAAAGAAAUGACAGUACCCUAAAAGAAAGCCCCGGCUAACUACGUGCCAGCAGCCGCGGUAAUACGUAGGGGGCAAGCGUUAUCCGGAAUAACUGGGCGUAAAGGGUGCGCAGGUGGUUUAACAAGUUAGUGGUGAAAGGCAUAGGCUCAACCAAUGUAAGCCAUUAAAACUGUUUAACUUGAGUGCAGGAGAGGAAAGUGGAAUUCCUAGUGUAGCGGUGAAAUGCGUAGAUAUUAGGAGGAGUACCAGUGGCGAAGGCGACUUUCUGGACUGCAACUGACACUGAGGCACGAAAGCGUGGGGAGCAAACAGG